GCAAUUCUGUUACUUUUCAAAAGACAGAGGUAGAUAGAAUGGUUAAACUGAAACAAAUAUGGAAGUCCAUGACUAAUUUCGAACAAAAAAAUAAAAAAAAUUGAAGUUCUGGGACUGAUACUAUUUUUAACCCUGUAAACAUUCGAUAUUAGGCAAAUUUAUGUUUUUACAUGGAUAAAAACAUCGAAAAUUUUGCCUUUUGGGGUUUUGCACGGUUGAAGUCAACCAUGCCUGCUUGUUGCGUGAACUAGAAGAAAUGUCGGUCUUCUGUAAGUAAGAAACAUUUUCCUGUAUUUGUGCAGGGAGUGACAUCAGUGCAUGGAAUGAUUUCCCUAACUGGAGUGGUUGGGGCGGAUGGGCUCUUCCGUCACUGGAAUACUAUGGAAACGGUGAUCAAGCAGAACAAAAUGGUGAAUCCCAGGGGCGUUCUUCACGUGGAAGAUCCAGAAAAGUUGUCCCAGUCGAGUAAACUUUCUGAGUCUUUGUGGUGAUUCGUGUGAGUAAAUUAGCAUCUUAUGUUUGCCUAUAUAUAGUUUCAGUCAGUUAUGUGCUAUGGUCUUGUGGAGUUUUCUACCUGUGAACUUUUAGUUUAACCAUGUUCCCGAUGAUGGAAAGUAUCGAAUUAUGAAAUCUGUGUGUACUUGCCUUGUUGAGAUCUUCUGUUUACCAGUAGAAAUAUUAGAACAACUUGAAAAUAUUGUUCCAUCUGCUGCUUCUUCUUUCAUUUUUUUCCUUCC
rnacentral:lncRNA from 1 species